AGUCGAGGGGCAUCAUGAGGUAGCAAUACCUUGAUGGCGACCGGCGCACGGGUGAGUAACGCGUAUGCAACCUGCCCGAUACCGGGGUAUAGCCCAUGGAAACGUGGAUUAACACCCCAUAGUACUUUUAUCCUGCAUGGGAUGUGAGUUAAAUGUUCAAGGUAUCGGAUGGGCAUGCGUCCUAUUAGUUAGUUGGCGGGGUAACAGCCCACCAAGACGAUGAUAGGUAGGGGUUCUGAGAGGAAGGUCCCCCACAUUGGAACUGAGACACGGUCCAAACUCCUACGGGAGGCAGCAGUGAGGAAUAUUGGUCAAUGGACGUAAGUCUGAACCAGCCAAGUCGCGUGAGGGAAGACUGCCCUAUGGGUUGUAAACCUCUUUUAUAAGGGAAGAAUAAGUUCUACGUGUAGAAUGAUGCCUGUACCUUAUGAAUAAGCAUCGGCUAACUCCGUGCCAGCAGCCGCGGUAAUACGGAGGAUGCGAGCGUUAUCCGGAUUUAUUGGGUUUAAAGGGUGCGUAGGCGGUUUAUUAAGUUAGUGGUUAAAUAUUUGAGCU
rnacentral:rRNA from 1 species